UAGAGUGUAGAGGUGGCAGGGUAGCCUAGUGGUUAGAGUGUAGAGGCGGCAGGGUAGCCUAGUGGUUAGAGUGUAGAGGCGGCAGGGUAGCCUAGUGGUUAGAGUGUAGAGGUGGCAGGUAGCCUAGUGGUUAGAGUGUAGAGGCGGCAGGGUAGCCUAGUGGUUAGAGUGUAGAGGUGGCAGGGUAGCCUAGUGGUUAGAGUGUAGAGGUGGCAGGUAGCCUAGUGGUUAGAGUGUAGAGGUGGCAGGGUAGCCUAGUGGUUAGAGUGUAGAGGUGGCAGGGUAGCCUAGUGGUUAGAGUGUAGAGGUGGCAGGGUAGCCUAGUGGUUAGAGUGUAGAGGCGGCAGGGUAGCCUAGUGGUUAGAGUGUAGAGGUGGCAGGGUAGCCUAGUGGUUAGAGUGUAGAGGCGGCAGGGUAGCCUAGUGGUUAGAGUGUAGAGGUGGCAGGGUAGCCUAGUGGUUAGAGUGUAGAGGUGGCAGGGUAGCCUAGUGGUUAGAGUGUAGAGGUGGCAGGGUAGCCUAGUGGUUAGAGUGUAGAGGCGGCAGGGUAGCCUAGUGGUUAGAGUGUAGAGGUGGCAGGGUAGCCUAGUGGUUAGAGUGUAGAGGUGGCAGGUAGCCUAGUGGUUAGAGUGUAGAGGUGGCAGGGUAGCCUAGUGGUUAGAGUGUAGAGGUGGCAGGGUAGCCUAGUGGUUAGAGUGUAGAGGUGGCAGGGUAGCCUAGUGGUUAGAGUGUAGAGGUGGCAGGGUAGCCUAGUGGUUAGAGUGUAGAGGUGGCAGGGUAGCCUAGUGGUUAGAGUGUAGAGGUGGCAGGGUAGCCUAGUGGUUAGAGUGUAGAGGUGGCAGGGUAGCCUAGUGGUUAGAGUGUAGAGGUGGCAGGGUAGCCUAGUGGUUAGAGUGUAGAGGUGGCAGGGUAGCCUAGUGGUUAGAGUGUAGAGGUGGCAGGGUAGCCUAGUGGUUAGAGUGUAGAGGUGGCAGGGUAGCCUAGUGGUUAGAGUGUAGAGGUGGCAGGGUAGCCUAGUGGUUAGAGUGUAGAGGUGGCAGGGUAGCCUAGUGGUUAGAGGGUAGAGGUGGCAGGGUAGCCUAGUGGUUAGAGUGUAGAGGUGGCAGGGUAGCCUAGUGGUUAGAGUGUAGAGGUGGCAGGGUAGCCUAGUGGUUAGAGUGUAGAGGUGGCAGGGUAGCCUAGUGGUUAGAGUGUAGAGGUGGCAGGGUAGCCUAGUGGUUAGAGUGUAGAGGUGGCAGGGUAGCCUAGUGGUUAGAGUGUAGAGGUGGCAGGGUAGCCUAGUGGUUAGAGUGUAGAGGUGGCAGGGUAGCCUAGUGGUUAGAGUGUAGAGGUGGCAGGGUAGCCUAGUGGUUAGAGUGUAGAGGUGGCAGGGUAGCCUAGUGGUUAGAGUGUAGAGGUGGCAGGGUAGCCUAGUGGUUAGAGUGUAGAGGUGGCAGGGUAGCCUAGUGGUUAGAGUGUAGAGGUGGCAGGGUAGCCUAGUGGUUAGAGUGUAGAGGUGGCAGGGUAGCCUAGUGGUUAGAGUGUAGAGGUGGCAGGUAGCCUAGUGGUUAGAGUGUAGAGGUGGCAGGGUAGCCUAGUGGUUAGAGUGUAGAGGUGGCAGGGUAGCCUAGUGGUUAGAGUGUAGAGGUGGCAGGGUAGCCUAGUGGUUAGAGUGUAGAGGUGGCAGGGUAGCCUAGUGGUUAGAGUGUAGAGGUGGCAGGGUAGCCUAGUGGUUAGAGUGUAGAGGUGGCAGGGUAGCCUAGUGGUUAGAGUGUAGAGGUGGCAGGGUAGCCUAGUGGUUAGAGUGUAGAGGUGGCAGGUAGCCUAGUGGUUAGAGUGUAGAGGUGGCAGGUAGCCUAGUGGUUAGAGUGUAGAGGUGGCAGGUAGCCUAGUGGUUAGAGUGUAGAGGUGGC